UACAACGAUCAUUACCAUUCAAAUGUGUAAAACUCAUGUAGCACCCAUAUAUUAAAUGUGAAAAUCAAUUUGUGAAAGAUGAUUAAACAUUUAUUAAAUAUUAAUGGAUGAAAAAGUAAUAUGAAUGAUGAUUAAACAUGCAUUGAAUAUUAAAUGUUAGCCAUCACGAAUACAACCAUGCAAAUCUUGUGUAAUGGGGCUUUGACUUAAAUGUUCAAGCCAGUUAG
rnacentral:lncRNA from 1 species